rnacentral:rRNA from 1 species
CUCAUUAAAUCAGUUAUAGUUUAUUUGAUGGUCUCUUUUGUCUUUUUUUACCUACCUGGAUAACCGUGGUAAUUCUAGAGCUAAUACAUGCGCAAGGUCCCAAGCGCGGAGAGUAGGGCUUCACGGCUUUAUUCUUGCAUGCGUAGCGGGAUGUAUUUAUUAGGUUAAAAACCAGCGUAGCCAGCAAUGGCUACAAUCUCCUGGUGAUUCAUAGUAACUCUUUCGGAUCGCAUUCAUG